rnacentral:rRNA from 1 species
CCUUCGGGCUGAUGUUCUGUGUCGUAGUGUCGGGUGUGGAACGUGGCGGACGGCUUUGCCUGUGCGCUCGAUCCGCCACCGUGCAACGGCGCGUCGAACAUACACCAAGCGUUGAUGAGGACGUUUGACGAGCACACGGCUUUAUCCGACCCGUCUUGAAACACGGACCAAGGAGUCUAACAUGUUCGCAAGUCACUGGGUGCUUGAAACCCGUGGGCGUAAUGAAAGUGAAGGCAAUCUAUUGCUUAGAUGAGAACCCCUGUGUCUGUGCAUGGGGAUGCAUCAUCGACCGACCUGUUCUACUCCUAGAAAGGUUUGAGUAAGAGCGUACCUGUUGGGACCCGAAAGAUGGUGAACUAUGCCUGAAUAGGGUGAAGCCAGCGGAAACACUGGUGGAAGCUCGUAGCGGUUCUGACGUGCAAAUCGAUCGUCGAAUUUGGGUAUAGCGGCGAAAGACUAAUCGAACCAUCUAGUAGCUGGUUCCCUCCGAAGUUCCCACAGGAUAGC